rnacentral:rRNA from 1 species
UAGGGAAUCUUCCGCAAUGGGCGAAAGCCUGACGGAGCAACGCCGCGUGAGUGAUGAAGGUCUUCGGAUCGUAAAACUCUGUUGUUAGGGAAGAACAAAUUUGUUAGUAACUGAACAAGUCUUGACGGUACCUAACCAGAAAGCCACGGCUAACUACGUGCC